GAUGAAGAACGUAGCGAACGUGCGAAACGUAAUGUGAAUUGCAGAAUUCAGUGAAUCAUCGAAUCUUUGAACGCAUCUUGCGCUCCUUGGUAUUCCGAGGAGCAUGCCUGUUUGAGUGUCGUGAAUACUCUCAACUUCAACCCUUUUUUCGGAAAGGGAGGAAGGUUGGACUUGGGUGUUUGUUGAAGUGCGAGCUUCGACUCAUCCUAAAUGCAUUAGCGAUCUGCCUCGAUCACACACAAUGUGAAAAUUAAAACUAAAGCAUUGUUUAAUGAUCAAGUCGAGACUGCUUCUAACUGUCGCAAGACAAUAACGUGCAUACAUUUGUGCAUGUCAUUUGACCUCAAAUCAGGUAGGACUACCCGCUGAACUUAAGCAUAUCAAUAAGCGGAGGA
rnacentral:misc_RNA from 1 species